rnacentral:rRNA from 1 species
GGGAGGGGCCUGCGUCCUAUCAGCUUGUUGGUGGGGUAACGGCCUACCAAGGCGAUGACGGGUAGCUGGUCUGAGAGGACGGUCAGCCACACGGGCACUGAGACACGGGCCCGACUCCUACGGGAGGCAGCAGCAGGGGAUCUUGGGCAAUGGGCGAAAGCCUGACCCAGCGACGCCGCGUGGGGGAAGACGGCCUUCGGGUUGUAAACCCCUUUUCUCGGGGAAGAGAUAGGACGGUACUCGAGGAAUAAGUCUCGGCUAACUACGUGCCAGCAGCCGCGGUAAUACGUAGGCGGCGAGCGUUAUCCGGAUUUACUGGGCGUAAAGAGGGCGUAGGCAGUUUUUUAAGUCGAUUGUAAAAUCUCCCGGCUUAACUGGGAGGAGCCAGUCGAUACUGUUAGACUAGAGAGCAGCAGGGGGAGGUGGAAUUCCCGGUGUAGUGGUGAAAUGUGUAGAUAUCGGGAGGAACACCAGUGGCGAAGGCGGCCUCCUAGGCUGUUUCUGACGCUGAGGUCCGAAAGCGUGGGGAGCAAACAGGAUCAGAUACCCUGGUAGUCCACGCUGUAAACGAUGGACACUAGGUAUAGGGAGUAUCGACCCUCUCUGUG